UCCCGUAUCAAAUAUUGGAUUGAUAAAUUUCAAUAGUUUUGGAUUGCCAAUCUUAGGAAAAUAGUUUAUAAUAAUUUUUAGUAUUUUAUUAUCAAUUUUUAAAAAAUAUUUCAUAAUUUUAUUUUUUAUCAGUUUUAUCUUUUCAAUAUUAAGAACAUAAUUCAUAAAUCCAUUGACAGACCCUUGUUUGUUGAGAAUUUC
rnacentral:lncRNA from 1 species